rnacentral:rRNA from 1 species
ACGCUCGACACCUACGUGAGGCAGCAGUAGGGAAUCUUCCACAAUGGGCGCAAGCCUGAUGGAGCAACACCGCGUGAGUGAAGAAGGGUUUCGGCUCGUAAAGCUCUGUUGUUGGAGAAGAACGUGCGUGAGAGUAACUGUUCACGCAGUGACGGUAUCCAACCAGAAAGUCACGGCUAACUACGUGCCAGCACGCCGACGGUAAUCUGGACGGCCGGGUCGUCGGACGAAGGC